ensembl:lncRNA
GCUGACGCCAGGAACCGAAGAAUGAGAUUUUUGAACCGGUUCAAUGAGCCGAAUUGUCUGAAAAGAACCGGUUCGCGGAAAUGAAACGGAGUCGGAAUUUGCAUCACAAUUACAGAGAAGAUUGAGCGGGAUCAGCCGAGCGCGAUCUUCGGUUCCACUUCUGUUCCACUGUUCCACUUUUCCUGCAUCCUGAUUGGCCCGUCGUCUGGCUCGUCAUUGGUCGGAGCUCUGUUCCACUUAGCGAGCUUCCCGAUAUGGUCAUGGCGAGUAGCCUGCCGUUGGUCCUUCGCGAAUGUUCCACUUUUUCCUGCAUCCCGAUUGGCCUGUGGGCGGGACCACCUUGCAUUGGAGGCGCGUGCGACGUCACACCAUUCAGUGCUUUUUUUUGAAAGCGAUCGAUCGUCAUUCAUAAUCAUCAUCAUCACUUGCUGACAUUCGUUAAUUUUUUGGAUUUGGAGAGUGUCUUGUAGAAGAUGGAUUACAGUGUCCAGUACCGCAGGGAGGCCUCUGGUGAACUCACCCUUAAACCCUCUCCUGGGGCAGUGGCUCUUGCUACUGCCUACAGGAAAAAUCCCACCCCGGGAUGCUCAUGGCCUGCUGCAAGGGUAAAGGAGGAGGCCAUCGCUUGUGUGGCAGCAGCGGGAGGUGACGUGUCCAAUCGCCAGCUUGUGCUGAGUGAAAGUGCCCUGCAGUUUGGCCAGUACCGUGGUAAAUCCUUUAAAUGGUUGCUUUCCAAUGAUGUUGGUUACGCACCCAUGGUGCUGGCCAUGCAUCAGCGGGAGCAUGAGGGCGGCGACACCACCCAAUCUGCUGUCAUGUCAUUGCUGCUGUAUGCUGGCCUGUUUCCUGACAUGGUGGCUGCCAUCAGCGAGCGCCGGGUCAGAGAAGGCACUGGCACACCAGUCCAGGAAGACUUGGUGCUUGUUGGAUUUGGCAACUUUGCCACCGUGUCCUUUAAGGACCUUUAUGAGGCGAUGGACCUCGACAGAAAAGGUUUCAUCAAGUGGGUGAGGAAGCAGACAGCCAGACCGGGUACAAAGAUGGAAACUCUGCAGAAGUACAUUCAGAGAAGAGAUGCUGAGAUGCUGUCAGAAUCAGCGCCUCCAGUGGUCGCCUCAAUCUCAGCUUCUGCAGAGGAACCAUCUGAUGAAGAUCUGCUUGCUGCAGCGGCACAUAUAGAUGUUCCAGCUGAUGUGACUCAACCAUCCAGUCAGCCAGAACCUCUGCCCUCUGCAACGAGAGCUGCUGCACCAGAACCUCUGCCCACAGAAGAACUGUUGCUGCCUGAAGGCUGGAGACAGACUCUGCCCAAAGAGCAGCAUUUGUGGGUCAGCAAGGCUCUUUUCACCAGAGACAAGUCUGGGAGGCUGGCGCUGACCAAAAACCUGCAUCUCUGGUGGCAUCCUCCUGGGCCCUGUCCUCUGUAUACACAGCCUCCUUCAUCACCUGACAGCUUCUAUCAUAGCCAGCAGCUUCUGGGUCUGAAACUGGCUCAGGAUUACACCAGCCCCAGUGAAUAUACAGGAGAGCUCUUUGGUGUGGAAUAUUUGUAUUCCCAAACCAGCAGAGCGUUUGAGGAAGACUUAGGUGUAGAUCCUGAUAUUCCAGAUGGAAUUCAGGAUGAAGACCUGCAGGGUGAUCUGGAGGGUGAUGAGGGGUUUGAGGAUCUGUGCCUUGAUGAGCCCAUUGAAUUUUUGGAACUCGAGGGCAAUGACCUGCAGCCCCCUCAGGAACAGACAGUGGCCCUACAACCUCCUGGUCAGCCCUCAUCAUCAGCAGCAGAGUCUUCCUCUCCUGUCUUGGCCACUCAGAGCCAGAUGAAGAGUGUGGGACCAGAUGGCCAAGCUGGUUAUGACCACGUCAUUAGGCUAGCCGACAGUCUGGUUGACCUGCCCCAUCAGGGGUUUGUCACUCAGAGUAAGGUGGAUGAGAUUGUCGUGCUGUGGAACAACCUGUCAGAUCAUGACAAGGGCCCUCUCAUCUAUGUAUCUUGGCUAUAAUCAUAACCAGUCUCGUUACCAAUGUUAUCCACUUGUUUGACCGCUAUCUGUCAAAUAGUCUGAUUAACUGUACUUUCCUCCUUUUUCACUUUGCAGAUGCUUCCUUGGUGAAGGUGGACCAGCUCAGUGGCCCAGCACAAGCCGAGUAGUGGAAGCCAUCUGCCUGGCUCUCUGCUGAAUUUACCCUGCCGGUCAGACCAUCGCCGGGGUCCGGGUAAACCAAUGGGCUGCCAUCCUAAGGGAUUACAGGAGGAUCCGAGACAUAGUCCUGGGCAGCCCCGGAAUCAUGGCUCAGACAAAGUUAAAGGUCUUUAAGCUAAACCAGCUCACUAUCUCCCAGUGGUACGUUCAGUAAUUGUACAGCGUGGCGGCGAAAGAAGCUGGCAGAGGCAGCCGCUGCAGCUCAAGGUUUGAACUCUAAAAAACAACAAAUACCUCAGCAGUUCCUCUGCCAAAAGUGUGGCCAGCCAAAGACUAAAGAAUUUGGCCACAGCCAGUUCCGGGGUGUCCACUUUUGUGCAAAGGCUUCUGGGAAGACUGUGGCACAGUGGAUGGAGGAAGUCAAGAGAGGAGAGACUAAAUAGACAAGGACACAAUUUAUAUGUUGUAAAGAUGUUUAUUUUGUUUUGAAUAAGUAAUUUUAUAUAAUAAAUAUAUGAUGUUUUAGUUUAUUU